rnacentral:snRNA from 1 species
AUGCUUGUUUCAGCAGUACAUACACUAAAAUUUUAAUGAUACAGAGACAAUUAGCAUGGCCCCUGUGCAAGGAUGACACAAAAAA